UACGAAGGGGGCUAGCGUUGCUCGGAAUUACUGGGCGUAAAGCGCACGUAGGCGGAUCUUUAAGUCAGGGGUGAAAUCCUGGAGCUCAACUCCAGAACUGCCUUUGAUACUGAGGACCUUGAGUUCGGGAGAGGUGAGUGGAACUGCGAGUGUAGAGGUGAAAUUCGUAGAUAUUCGCAAGAACACCAGUGGCGAAGGCGGCUCGCUGGACCGGACCUGACGCUGAGGCGCGAAGGCGUGGGGAGCGAACGGG
rnacentral:rRNA from 1 species